UAUACAAACCUAAGUCGUGAUGUGCUUCUCUCAAAGAAGAAAAGCUGAAGAACGUGGAGAAAAAUUGCACGGGUUCAGAACCCACGAAGCUGACGGUUUCCACAAUUUUAGAACCCAUCACCACCAUGUUACCUAUAUUUUUCUUCGUCCACUUCAUUGGCACCUUUUCUGCUUCAUAAAUCGAAAUCGAAAUUGCGAGUAAUCACCCAAGAGCACCCGGUGUAAAGACUGGCCAGACUCGAAAAACUUCCUUUCUCAUUCCGCACCACACCUGUUAUCCUGUAACUGAAGAUAAAGGAGGUAGGGUUCACACUCAGAAAGAGAGAAUAUUUAAAUUCGUACAGGAGGGAUAGUGUUCAAGUUAUUUAUCAGUACUUGGACGAGAACAAGUCAUUGAUUCUGAAGAUCGUUGAGAGCCAGAAUACAGGGAAAUUGAGUGAAUGCGUAAAAUGUUGUUUCGCUAGAGCACCAAUGAAGAAAGCAUUUAGAUUUGAUGUGUUUGAUGUCAAUGAUUCAAUUGUCUGUCACAUCUCUGACUUAUUCACUGAAGCAAAGAAGCAAAGAUAAUUUUCAGGAUUCUCUUCCAACGAUCUAUCCAUUGCUAGGUAUGGGUAUACGCCCGCAUUCACCUACCUCUACAUUACUUUCUUUGUUUGCUAAUCAUACUUUUUUACCUAAUAAAGCAACAAGCAGCUCAAAAAAGAACAAUGAAAACAUUGAACAGAGAAAAUCAUUUUGCUUGCUCCUUUGUAUUUGAUUAUUAUUAUACCAACCAAAACAAUGAAGACUACAACCUGGACAUGCUCAAGAUUGAACUUUGCAAUAUAUGUAUUAUAUUUUUUAAUUAAUUAAUCAUUUGUAUUAAUAACCAA